UAGGGAAUCUUCGGCAAUGGACGAAAGUCUGACCGAGCAACGCCGCGUGAGUGAAGAAGGUUUUCGGAUCGUAAAACUCUGUUGUUAGAGAAGAACAAGGACGUUAGUAACUGAACGUCCCCUGACGGUAUCUAACCAGAAAGCCACGGCUAACUACGUGCCAGCAGCCGCGGUAAUACGUAGGUGGCAAGCGUUGUCCGGAUUUAUUGGGCGUAAAGCGAGCGCAGGCGGUUUCUUAAGUCUGAUGUGAAAGCCCCCGGCUCAACCGGGGAGGGUCAUUGGAAACUGGGAGACUUGGGUGCAGAAGAGGAGAGUGGAAUUCCAUGGGUAGCGGUGAAAUGCGUAGAUAUAUGGGGGAACACCAGUGGCGAAGGCGGCUCUCUGGUCUGUAACUGGCGCUGAGGCUCGAAAGCGUGGGGAGCAAACAGG
rnacentral:rRNA from 1 species